rnacentral:rRNA from 1 species
UACGUAGGGUCCGAGCGUUGUCCGGAGUUACUGGGCGUAAAGGGCGCGCAGGCGGCGGUGCUGGCCCGGCGUGAAAGCCCCCGGCUCAACCGGGGAGGGUCGUCGGGGACCGCACCGCUUGAGGGCGGUAGGGGCUGGUGGAAUGCCUGGUGUAGUGGUGAAAUGCGUAGAGAUCAGGCGGAACACCCGUGGCGAAGGCGGCCAGCUGGGCCGACCCUGACGCUGAGGCGCCGAAGGCGUGGGGAGGCGAACGGG